rnacentral:lncRNA from 1 species
GGAAAGCUGUGCUGUUCUCCAGUGGUGUAGGUGUUGGGACUUAAUAACCCAUAUCUGAUGGUUCUAACUCAUUUUCACUGAAGAUGUCUACCAAAAUAAUCAAUUAAUAAAACUGUAGAAUUCCCCCCUAGUUUUCUUCAAAAUGUGACCAGAAAUAAGCAAGCUAACUUUAUCUUUAAUGAGUAUAUUAAAUCCCCAAAACCUUGUUGCAUGAAGGAAAGCAUUGAAUUAAUAUAGUUUAUUACUGUAAAUGCUGGCUUCUCCUAACAAAUAUGCAAAUAAUAAUGCAGCUAGGAGGUCACCAUUUAUGCCAGAUUAGCUAUAAAAAUUGCCAAUUUACUUUGUGCUACUUUGGUUCUAGAGAGGGUGGAGAUAGAGCUGCCUAUUCUCAUCCCCUUGUCAGCAUCAAACAUCACGGUUGGAGAAUUAACUUUGCACAUUGCAAAUUUCCAAACUAAAAAAAAUAAAGGAAAAUAAAAGAAUGAAAGAUAAAACUGAAACAGCACAAUAGAAAGGAAGCGGCCAGCCUUUGAGAGUUCUUUGGAGCAAGCUACUUGCCCCAUGGCUAUAAGGCCAUCCAAGCAUCCAUGCCUCUGUCUACUGAAUUGGCUUAUGCCCAAGACUUUGGGCUCUCAUCAUUAUUCAUGGGGUGUGCUCAGGACUGUUUGGGCUCUAAUCUUGAUUUUUCUGUAGUUUGAGGUUUUCAGAACUGUUCAAUAGGUUCAUGACUACAAAGGUAGUAGAACACUGUGCCAACACUACAUUUUUAUUUUAUAAAUAUUGUACCUUUUAUUUCUUCUUUGUGAGAUAUCACCUUGUACAGAACUCAGCAUAAUUAUAAGGUAAUCAUACUAUAAUAUGCUUUAGAAUGCUCCAGCAUACUUUAGUCCUUGGUGUGAAAGUUGGGGAUUAUAAGAGCCAAAACUGAGAGGAGGACUAAGGAGCAAGGAAAUGCUUUCCUCACUAAUCCAGGGGUAGGUGGGGGGAUAGGGGACAUACAGGAAGCAUUCAGUAAAUACCAGAUGGACGUGUGUAUGUGUGUGUGUGUGUGUGUGUGUGUGUGUGUGUGUGCGCGCGCGCACGCGUGAAGAAUGGAAGAAUAAGAAGAGAGGAGAUAUGCUUGGGAUGAGGCACCAGUGUGGGUACACGUCUGGCUUUGCAGCCUGGGGACGUGGGAUCCAGCCCUGCUUUCCAUGUGAGCUGCGGGAAACAUGUCCAUCCCCGUUACACGAGUGCAGAAUGGCUCCAAAGGGUAUUUUGUUCAUCUAGGCCAUGUCUCCUGCCAUUAAUAUAAAACUGCUGAUUUAAUGGAGCCACUUUUGAUCUAUCAAGAAAAGACACACCUAAUUCAAUUUGGCUAUUUUUCUAAGAGUAAGUGUCUUAAUCUGCAAGAGAAUGAUUUGAUUAGAAUUUAAAGUAGUAAUAUUGCAGUCACAUUUUUAGUCACGAAGAUGAUAUCGAAUGACUCUACGAGGCUUAAGUGGAAAGUCCCAGGGAACAGUGAGAGCUGGGACUUUAGCAGCGUCCAGGCCGUUUCUGUUAUACUUUCAGAGUAUAUUUUUGUUGGGAUGGAUGGGACUUUGGACAGAGAAUUUGGUAUGCAAAAUGUGAAAACAGACAAUCUUCAUCAAAGUGCAGAAUAGACUAAACCCAGAACAUAAUGACAUAGAAACCCAAGAUGUAAACACCUGCCUUUU